rnacentral:rRNA from 1 species
UGAGGAAUAUUGGGCAAUGCCCGCAAGGGUGACCCAGCAACGCCGCGUGGAGGAUGAAUGUCGUAAGAUUGUAAACUCCUGUUAGAGGGGAAGAAUAGUACCGGUUGGACCGGUAUAUGACUGUACCCUCAGAGAAAGCCCCGGCUAACUACGUGCCAGCAGCCGCGGUAAUACGUAGGGGGCAAGCGCUGUCCGGAUUUACUGGGUGUAAAGGGCGCGCAGGCGGGAUAAAAAGUCAGUGGUGAAAUCCUACAGCUUAACUGUAGAACUGCCUUUGAUACUUUUAUUCUUGAGUUCGGGAGAGAGAGACGGAAUUCCUGGUGUAGUGGUGAAAUACGUAGAUAUCUGGAAGAACACCAGUUGCGAAGGCGGUCUCUUGGUCCGACACUGACGCUGAGGCGCGAAAGCGUGGGGAGCAAACA